rnacentral:misc_RNA from 1 species
AACGCACAUUGCGCCCCCUGGUAUUCCGGGGGGCAUGCCUGUCCGAGCGUCAUUGCUGCCCUCAAGCCCGGCUUGUGUGUUGGGUCUUGUCCCCCCCGGGGGACAGGCCCGAAAGGCAGUGGCGGCACCGUCCGAUCCUCGAGCGUAUGGGGCUUUGUCACCCGCUCUGUAGGCCCGGCCGGCUGCUUGCCGACCCCCAUCAAUCUUUUUUUCAGGUUGACCUCGGAUCAGGUAGGGAUACCCGCUGAACUUAA